rnacentral:rRNA from 1 species
AGACCCGAAACCCGGUGAUCUAGCCAUGGGCAGGUUGAAGGUUGGGUAACACUAACUGGAGGACCGAACCGACUAAUGUUGAAAAAUUAGCGGAUGACCUGUGGCUGGGGGUGAAAGGCCAAUCAAACCGGGAGAUAGCUGGUUCUCCCCGAAAGCUAUUUAGGUAGCGCCUCGUGAAUUCAUCUCCGGGGGUAGAGCACUGUUUCGGCUAGGGGGCCAUCCCGGCUUACCAACCCGAUGCAAACUGCGAAUACCGGAGAAUGUUAUCACGGGAGACACACGGCGGGUGCUAACGUCCGUCGUGAAGAGGGAAACAA